ACUAACAUGCAAACCAAAGAAAGAUUUCCAAUGGCUGAGUCCACACAGAAAAGUGUAUAAGCAUGAGCUGUCUCCAGUCAUUGUUUUCAUCUGCUGCUGCCUCUGAGCCACCAGAUCUUUCUGCCUGAGAAUGUUUGAAUCCUUUGUAUUCCUCACCACCUAAAAUGUAUCCAAUGGGCAACAUAUUUUCCCUCAGAUCUUUAAUAUUGAUUAGUCUGCGAACAGCUGGAAUCCUCAGCCUGAAAAGACUUCUUUGUUUCCCAGGUUUCCAU
rnacentral:lncRNA from 1 species